rnacentral:lncRNA from 1 species
UCUCCAAUGAGGGGCUGCUAUCUUUCUUCUGGGAUUCUCACACUGUUUGAAUAUAAAUCUGUACUAGUCAGGGAUAUUGCUGCCAUCACAUGGAUAUGAUCUCACUGAGAAUGAAACUAACGUAGAAGAAAGCAAAGAUAAGAGAGGGGAGAGCAAGCGCACAAGAGGGAAGUACAUGACUUUGAACUGAUUCACCUUAGGGACAUGAUUAGCUUUCCAAAAUGGGCUGCCUUCUCAGAGCAUCAACAGAGGAGUAUCAGAGAAAACAUGGAGAGUACAAGAGAGGAGACUGCAAAGGACUCAGUGCAAAACUUACAGGGAAAAUGGAAUAUAUGUGACCAAUUUAUUCCAGAGCUGACAGAUUUGGAUGAAGUGGCUUGACCCCUUUUCCUGCUAUCCUUUAGAAAGCCAACUUCCUUGUGAGUUCCAUUCCAAGGCCUGGAGUCAAAUAAGCAAAGGCCACUUAGCACUAUUUACAGAAUGGAUAGAUAGUAAAUAUCAAUGUGACUAUAUCUUGGAAUCC